AUGAGUUAUUCCACUAAUCCAACAUCCAAUGGUUCCCCUUCUUCCCACCUAACUACCUCCAGGUCCCACCUAUAUAGCAGCUGUGCCUCAUAUUACCUAAAUGAUCUGGAUAGAAUACCCCAAACCAACUACAUUCCAACUCAGCAAGAUGUACUUUGGACAAGAGUGAAGACAACAGGAAUUGUGGAAACACAUUUUACCUUCAAAGACCUAUACUUCAAGAAGUUUGAUGCAGGGCCAAAGAUCAGCACGAAAAAAGUGGAUUCACUGUUUUGAGGGAGUGACAGGAAUUAUCUUCUGUGUGGCCCUCAGAGAUUCUGACAUUGUUCUGGCUGAGGAUGAGGAAACGAACUGUAUGCAUGAAAGCAUACAGUUUGACAACAUUUGGACAAUUCAAUCAUUCUUUAACAAGAAAGACCUUUUUGAGGAAAAAAAAAGAGGAGUCCUCUCAUUAUCUGGUAUCCAGAAUACACAGGUUCCAAUACAUAUGAAGCAGCAGCGGCUUAUAUCCAAUGCCAGUUUGAAGAUCUAAACACAAGAAAAGAUACCAAGGAGAUCUACACUCACUUCACUUGUGCCACAGACACCAAGAAUGUGCAGUUUGUUUCUGAUGCUGUUACAGAUGUCAUCAUUAAAAACAACUUAAAGGAAUGUGGACUUUAUUGAAGAGUGUGGAUGUGAAUGAAAGUUACUGCAGUUUGGAGUGUUCAAACCAGACAUCUUUUGCUGUCUCAUGGGGAAGCUGAACGCAUGAACGAGACCAGAGCAGCAGCAUGCAGAAUCUUAGUAGUCUUUAGCACAAUCCUCUGUAUUAGAGAACUUUUAAUUGCCACAAGAUGCUAAAGUCAGACAUUGGAAUUGGAACAACUAUAAAGUGUGAUUUGAUCAUCAAGACAUUACUUGGAUUCCAUAAUCUCAAAUGCAGAUGUGAAGUUGAGAUGCUGCUUUCCAGAACUUCAAUAUGUAGCUUACAUUUUCCCCCUUCUUAACAUACCACCAGUGGUCAUUUAAAAAUUUUUUUCAUCAAGAGAAUAACUUUACUAAAUAUUAUUUCUUUGCAAAACAAUCUUUAUUAAAAUACAAACAAUCUUAACUAUGCA